ACCUAUCCGUUUUUCUCUUUCUUCCUCUCCUCUGCUAGAUGGGUUUGAUGGACGAAUUAAUUGAAGCAGAGAAGUUAGGGUUUCAAGGAAUACAGAGAUGGGUUUGUGUUUAUGUUCAAGCUCGAGGGGAAAUCAAGGGAUAAUUUGUGAAGUUGGUGUUCAAAUGAUCAGAGAUUGGUUUUCUGCUUCUGUAGGUGACUGAUGAGAGAGGGUUUGAAUCGAAAAAAUGGAGAAUAAAACCGAUGAAACGUUUCCUGGUGAUGAAUCUAACUGGGAUAAUCAGUCGUUUAACGAGUCAAAUCCAUCAGAUCUAAAAGAUAUGAAGAAGAAGAGUCCUGAAGUUGAGAAAAUACCAGAAACAGUUACAGAGAAACAUGAUCGAUUGGGGGAAGAUUCGUGCAAUGGAAGUUCUGAAACUAUUGCCAAAGAUUCAGUUGUUCAAGACGUGAAGAAAUCAUCGGAGACGACGAUCCUUGUUACAGAAACUCGUGAACCAGCUGAGUUAUGGGAAUCAGUGGCUGAGUCAAAAAGUGGUGGUAAUGGAGGAGAAGAAGGGACAAAAGAGAGUAGCGACGUGCAAAGUUCCGCGAGCUUGUCAAAGAGAAAUCGACGGAGGAAAAUCACUUCCGGAAGUAGUAGCGGUGAAGAACGAGAAACAGACGAGGUUUCUCCCGCCAUCAAACGGAGCCCUGUUAAAUCAUAUCAUUCCUCUUUCGAAUAAAAAAUGAGAGAUCAGAGGUGAUGAAAUUGAGAGAUAGAAUAAAAAAUGGUUGCCAAAUUGAUUCUACCGCAACAAUUAAAAGCUGGGUUUGGAUUAGAUUUGAGAGUAUUGUGAUAGAGACUCGAUGGUGCUAAUGGUGGUCGAUGUUGCAGCUUUGAAUGAAGAUUUCUAGUGGAUGAUUGCAGGUGGAAAUAGGAGCUUGUGUUGUUGUGUUGUUUUUGGCAGUAUUGACAAAGUCUGGUUUGAAUUAAGUGAUGUUGGAGCUGUGUUCUGUUCUUAAAGGAGUUGCUGCCAUGGUCACAAUUGCUAGGUGGUCAUUGAACUGAUGCUGCAACAGAUGGCUGCAGUUUUGGUGUUAAUACAUUGAAUGGCUGAUUGAGACUUAACUGGAUUUUGGCAGUUAAUUUGCAGAUAGAGCUGGCAUAGCAGGUAGUUUUGGAGACUGUAAGUGGUGUUGCAGGCUAGAUAAGGAACUGAACUGAAUUAUGUCAAGUAUGGAACAAGUGGAGAAGCCAUGAAUAAGGCUGUGAAGACAUUUGCUAGCAGUCAUUAUGAUGGGAAGAAGUAGAGGGGGAUUAUCACAAAGAUCUAGUGGGCGGGUUGAUCCUUUGCACAAUUUUGUGUCAGAGAGAAGUCCAAUUGCAAGACAGAAGCCACCAACAAAUGGUAAUGAAAUAUAUAUACAUUUGUUUUGCACAUUCAUUGUUCUGCUUUGUUCCAAUAUCCAAUUGGUGACUUUUUGUCGGAACUGCAGAAAUUUAGCCCUUGGGAAGUUGUGAGACAGGACAUUGGGUUUCCUAUCACAUUCUAUUUUUGGUUAGCAUUUAUAGUUUUCAUUCUUGAUUUAAUCAUUCAGGUAUAUUGAAAACAAACCCAUGUUUUCAUCUUAUUUUGUGCUCAUCAACUGUUUGUUUCAUAGUUUAUGAAACCUCCAUUAGAAAAGGACUCACUUUUGUUUCCUGUCAUCAUUGUCCUUAUGUGUUGAUAAUGUUGAAAUCACAAAGUAUUUACAAAAAUAAAUUGACAGGAUUAUUGUGUAUAAUCCUGUUGCACUCUAUUAAACAUUCGCUUGUGUGUUACAGGGAUUCUUCCAUGGAUGUACAACCUUGAGUGGUUAAGGGAUGUCCCUCCUGACAAGGCAAAGGGGUACAAAAGGUGGAUGAUUUAAAGAUUGUCAUGGAUUUUGACAAUCACUCAAGCAUAGAGGUGACUAUAAACCCUAUGUUCAAGCAUGUUUUACGCAAAUUGAGCCAAGUAAAUAUGGAAAGAGUUGCAGAUUGCUAGGGACCAUUACACGCUUGAACUCGAUGAUAAAUUUGCUGGCAUUGAGAAAGCAUAUGAGGACAGCCAAUAAGAGUUACGGGGCAAGUUUGAGUAAUUAUUUCAGGGUAAAGUGUAAGCGUAAUCUCCAAAUUUCUUUAAAAAAUCCUCCUGAAGGCUGAAAACUUGGAAAACUGGGCCAACAUGUGUGAUUACUUGAUAGCACCGGAAUUUCAUGCCAAGAUCGAAGAGGGCCUGUUUUUUUCAUAGGCAAGAUCGAAUAGGGAAAGUGAUGCAAAAAACAGACAAGAUCUAAACCUAAACCACAAAAUGGUAUCGAGAGCUUUGCAAGAAAGACAUUUGACAGGAGUAAGAGGUCUAGCUAUUGAUCCUUUAACAAUGUUCGAUGAGAUCCACACGGAUAAGAAUCAGAAACUUCCUCUAAUAUGCGCAGAAUGAAAGGAAGAUAUGAAGGAUGAAACAGAGUAGGUCCAAAUUCAUCAAGUUAAUGAAUAUGGCUUUAAAGAAUUUAGGUCAAGCUUCUCUGCCAAAGGAUGCACUAGAUCCAAAUGUGAAACAUAGGAUGGAGGGCGACAACUUGAAGAUGAGAAUGAUGCUUAUAGUGAGGACGAGGAAAACGCGAGAUAUGGCGAAGAAGAAAAUAUGGUGGAUGGUCAGUAUCGGGAAUGAUUGGGAAUUGGAUGAGCAUAUAAUGAAGCUAAAGAGGAUGAGGAAUGAAUGGAAGUAUGACAGUACUUGUCUGGAGUUUUUUGCACAACAUUUCUUAAUUACUCACACAUGUAUAUUCUGGAUAUGACCCGUAUGUUAGAUCUUUUUUCUAUAUAUAUAAUAGCUAGUUCUGACUUCUAAGUUUA